ACCUGCGUGGCUCAGUCGGUUGAGCGUCCGACUUCGGCUCCGGUCAUGAUCUCACAGCUUGUGGGUUCGAGCCCCGCUUCGGGCU
rnacentral:tRNA from 1 species